GAGCGAAAGCGACGUUCAACCGCAAAACAAGCAGAGGGGGCUUAGUGGUGGGGUGACUGCGUACCUUUUGUAUAAUGGGUCAGCGACUUAUAUUCUGUAGCAAGGUUAACCGAAUAGGGGAGCCGGAGGGAAACCGAGUCUUAAUUGGGCGUUAAGUUGCAGGGUAUAGACCCGAAACCCGGUGAUCUAGCCAUGGGCAGGUUGAAGGUUGGGUAACACUAACUGGAGGACCGAACCGACUAAUGUUGAAAAAUUAGCGGAUGACCUGUGGCUGGGGGUGAAAGGCCAAUCAAACCGGGAGAUAGCUGGUUCUCCCCGAAAGCUAUUUAGGUAGCGCCUCGUGAAUUCAUCUCCGGGGGUAGAGCACUGUUUCGGCUAGGGGGCCAUCCCGGCUUACCAACCCGAUGCAAACUGCGAAUACCGGAGAAUGUUAUCACGGGAGACACACGGCGGGUGCUAACGUCCGUCGUGAAGAGGGAAACAACCCAGACCGCCAGCUAAGGUCCCAAAGUCAUGGUUAAGUGGGAAACGAUGUGGGAAGGCCCAGACAGCCAGGAUGUUGGCUUAGAAGCAGCCAUCAUUUAAAGAAAGCGUAAUAGCUCACUGGUCGAGUCGGCCUGCGCGGAAGAUGUAACGGGGCUAAACCAUGCACCGAAGCUGCGGCAGCGAACGUAUCACCCAAGACAACUUUACGGAGUUGACGAUUGACGGAGCGAAGCGACGUCAAAGCGUUCAUUAAAGUCGAGUUGGCUUAGGGAUACGUUCGUUGGGUAGGGGAGCGUUCUGUAAGCCUGUGAAGGUGUGUCGUGAGGCAUGCUGGAGGUAUCAGAAGUGCGAAUGCUGACAUAAGUAACGAUAAAGCGGGUGAAAAGCCCGCUCGCCGGAAGACCAAGGGUUCCUGUCCAACGUUAAUCGGGGCAGGGUGAGUCGACCCCUAAGGCGAGGCCGAAAGGCGUAGUCGAUGGGAAACGGGUUAAUAUUCCCGUACUUGGUGUUACUGCGAAGGGGGGACGGAGAAGGCUAUGUUGGCCGGGCGACGGUUGUCCCGGUUUAAGCGUGUAGGUGUGUGUUCCAGGUAAAUCCGGUU
rnacentral:rRNA from 1 species